CCUACGGGAGGCUGCAGUGAGGAAUAUUGGUCAAUGGGCGCGAGCCUGAACCAGCCAAGUAGCGUGAAGGAUGACUGCCCUACGGGUUGUAAACUUCUUUUAUAGAGGAGUAAAGCGAGUCACGUGUGCCUUUUUGUAUGUACCCUAUGAAUAAGGAUCGGCUAACUCCGUGCCAGCAGCCGCGGUAAUACGGAGGAUCCGAGCGUUAUCCGGAUUUAUUGGGGUUAAAGGGUGCGGCGGUGGGUGGUCAAGUCCGUUGUGAAAUUUUGCGGCUCAACCGUAAAAUUGCAGUUGAAACUGGAAGUCUUGAGUGCGGGAGAGGUGGGCGGAAUUCGUGGUGUAGCGGUGAAAUGCUUAGAUAUCACGAAGAACUCCGAUUGCGAAGGCAGUUCACUGGAGUGCAACUGACGCUGAGGCACGAAAGUGUGGGUAUCGAACAGGAUUAGAUACCCUUGUAGUC
rnacentral:rRNA from 1 species